AUUUCUUGCAACUUCAACAACACAGUUACCCAAAGUUUUGCUCAAACAGCAUCAAAUUAGGCAAGAAAUCAUAUAACCCAUGCUGUUUGCAGCAUUUCUUUGCAGAAACGGAGAAUUGAUCAUCUCACCAUACAAAAAUCCAGCUCACUACUUUCAAUCUAGUACUUCACUGAUUGCUUCCUAUAGGACAGAUCGGUGAAGUACUAGAUUUGUAGUAAUGAGCUGAAUUUUAGUAUGGUGAGAAGGUCAAUUCUCCGUUUCUGCAAUGAAAUGGUGCAAAAAGCGUGGGUAUUAUGAUUCCUUGCCUAAUUUGAUACUGUUUGAGCAAAACUUUGGGCAACAGUGUUGUUGUUUUCUCCAUUUCUGGCAACAUAAACAACAUAGUUAUCCAAAGUUUUGCUCAAACAGCAUAAAAUUUGGCAAGGAAUCAUAAUACCCACGCUUUUUGCACCAUUUCAUUGCAGAAACGUAGAAAUGACCUUCUCACCAUACUAAAAUUCAGCUCAUUACUACAAAUCUAGUACUACACCGAACGUGCCCCAUUCUCAGUUUCUGCAAUGAAAUGGCGCAAAAAGUGUGGGUAUUAUGAUUCCUUGCCUAAUUUUAUGCUGUUUGAGCAAAACUUUGGGUAACAGUGUUGUUGUUUUUUCUAUUUCUUGCAACACAAACAACACACUUAAUCUCCAAAUUUGAUCUCGGUAAAAACGAAUGACGAACUCAAUCGGUAAAGAGUAUUUUUACUGAAAUGUCGUUAAAAUUUGACAGUUCUCCAAAAAUAACUUGUCAAAAAUAACGAAAUUCAGUAAUUUACGUUCAUUACUGAAUCUCGGCAAACUUUUUUGCCACAGCAAUCGGCAAUCUAAUCAUGUUGCUGAAUUUCGGUAAAGCGCAUCUGUCAAAAAUGAAAACGAAGCACGUUGCCGGGUGCCAUCUUCAAAAAAGAAUUUUCUUUAAGCGAAUCACUACUUCGAUUCAGCAAUCUCUUCAGCGGGUUUUUCUAUGAUAUUUUGGAGAUGGAGCGCUGCAGCAGGAGUGCCGGAACCUCGCAUCGAAGGUGCCUGUUUGUUUGCUGCCGGUCUUAACGAGCAAAAGGCAAAAAUGGUCCGUGGAUACCAAAUAAACCGCUCGUAAAUCCACUAACGAAGAGGCUCCCGUAAGCAGCUGGCCACAAAGGCCGCCCACAAAGGUGCUCCCCCGACCGGCGGAGUGAAGAGGCUGCAUCGUUACCGGCCGAGAACGGUACAUAGUAACGAGAAACCCGUCGCUAACAAACGUCCACCGAGUUCCUGUUCCCUCCGCAAGUUGCCGUUCCAGCGCUGCUUGGAGCUUGAUAUGGCGCAGGUUUUGAAAGAUAGAUAUGCGUUUCCAAAGUGUCGUCGUUACUGCCAUGCAGGAAGCCCGCUCGGAUUGUUCGGGGACACCAUCAGUGUACGAUCUACGCCGAGCACGUCCCCGGCGGAAGUGUGAAAUUAUAAUGUUACCAUUGAUAUACAGUUAAAGAAACGAUAGAAACAAGCCAAAAUUUGUUGCUCAGGACCAGCAUGAAUAAAAUUGUUAACCUAAUCAUUAUUUUCGUUUUAUUUUAUUUCUUCUUAUUUUGUUUCUUCUUAUCAAUAAGCAUGAAAGAAAAAAAAAGAUUUACUGAAUUUCGGUAACCAUAUAUGCCGAAGUUUUCGGCAAUAUAUUACCGAACCACUCGUCAAAGUUUGACAUUUGAUCUUUAUCAAGUUUGCAGACUAGUCGGCAAUUUGAACUUUUACCGAGAUUUUUACCGAGCUCUCAGCUGUUGGAUUCUCGGCGAUUUAUUUUGCCGGCCUCGGCAAAUUAAAUUAAGUGUGAACAUAGUUAUCCAAAGUUCUGCUCAAACAGCAUCAAUUCAGGCAAGGAAUCAUAAUACCCACGCUUUUUGCACCGUUUUAUUGCAGAAACGGAGAAUUGACCUUCUCACCAUACAAAAAUUCAGCUCAUUACUACAAAUCUAGUACUACACCGAACGUGCCCCAUUGUAUCCCAAAAAACCUAACCCAACUUCAUCUUGCUGCAAAAGCUUGUAAACCGUCAAAUUCAAUAAUGUUUACAUUGAACAAGCUGAGUGGUUGCGCCAACAGGUUCUUCAUCUCAGUUUCUAGCUGAAAGAAUGUUCUUUAAACAUCUACGAAGCGCUGCUGUUUUGUGUAUUUGGCAACCUUACAAAAUGUACUGUAUAAAAGCAGCUGGUUUAUUGGUUGGGACUCUUAUUCAAUUUGCACAUCCUCCGGUAAAUCUUUCGGAGUAAGAUUAAAGUGCAAAAAAAUUAACCCAAAUAUUUUUACAGCACAGAGAUGGAUAGCUGUAAAGUAUUUGUGUAGUAGCUAUAUAUCCGGCUUAAAGUAUGCUUUGACAAUAAUGUUUACAUCCGACAAGCCGUGUUGGUAUACCAACAGUUUCUCUAGCUUCUAGCUGUAAUGAUAUCGCAAAACGGCCUUCAAAGCGCUACUGGUUUGUGGAUUUGCCAGUUUUACGAAUUGUACUGUAUAGUAGCAGCUGUUUUGAUACUGAGGACUCCUAUUCGAUUUGUUCAAGUUUUCACAUCUUCCGGAAAAUCUCCCGGAGUAAGAAUAGAAUGCAGUAAAGGCAAACCCAGUGACAAGUGAUUGAUUUCUGGAAACAGAGUUUGGUAGCUGUAUGGUGCUUGUUUUACAGCUGUGUAUAAGCUUAUGAGUUAUAUUUGACAACCUUCCAUUUUAUUCAGCGUUGACUGCUUCAACUCGAUUGUUACACAACAGAAAGCAAAUGACUGAAGCUUAUACCGCUGAAAAUGUUAGUUGGGUAAACAAUCAAAUGAAAAUAAAAAGAAAAUCGGGUUAAGUACGGUUCCUUUGAAUUCCACUAAGAAUUUGCAUCCUUUGACAGAUACGUAUUUCGACCUCAACUGUAAGGUCGUCUUCAGUGUCUUGUACUUGACUCGACUCGACUCCAGGUUAAUCAUCAUCAAUCAAAUGAUUUGAAAUCAGCAGCUUGAUAAGACGUUACGAGAAUUUGGAUUGGAAUAACGGACCCUUGUUUGUAUUAUCUGAUCAAUGGGAGGAGAAUGCUGUUCAUUACCAUUUAUGUGGACAAUGCGGCACGUUCGGUGUAGUACUAGAUUUGUAGUAAUGAGCUAAAUUUUAGAAUGGUGAGAAGGACAGUUAUCUGUUUCUGCAAUGAAAUGGUACAAAAAGCGUGGGUAUUAUGAUUCCUUGCCUAAUUUGAUGCUGUUUGAGCAAAGCUUUGGAUAACUAUGUUGUUUAUGUUGCAAGAAAUCGAGAAAACAACAACACUGUUGCCCAAAGUUUUGCUCAAAUUAGGCCAAGAAUCAUAAUACCCACGCUUUUUGCACUAUUUUAUUGCAGAAACGGAGAACUGACCUUCUCACCAUACAAAAAAUCAGCUCAUUACUACAAAUCUAGUGCUUCACCGAUCUGUCCUAUUAUGAUUCCUUGCCUAAUUUAAUACUGUUUGAGCAAAACUUUGGGUAACUGUGUUGUUUAAGUUGCAAGAAAUGUAGAAAACAACAACACGAUUACCCAAACUUUUGCUCAUACAGCAUUAAAUAGGGUCCUAAAAUGAAAAAUAUUUUCGCGCUUUUGGUGCAUAACACGAAAGAGCUUGGUUUUCUGAUCUCAAUGGUAUUUUUUUCGAACUUGAACAAUAACAGAAUAGUUAAUAAACUCGAAAAUAAAAUAAUGAUGAGCAAGUUUUGUUUGACAUUCGAGGUCAACCUUGACGUAACGAAAGUGAAACGGCGGGUUGCAAAAGACACCACAUUGGCUCACUUUUGACAACAAAUGUUUGACAUACACGGUAAACAAAAUUUACCCAAAAUGGGGCACGUUCGGUGUAGUACUAGAAUUGAAGUAAUGAGCUGAAUUUUUGUAUGGUGAGAAGGUCAAUUCUCUGUUUCUGCAAAGAAAUGGUUCAAAAAGCGUGGGUAUUGUGAUUCUCUGUCAAAUUUAAUGCUGUUUGAGCAAAAUUUUGGAUAACUAUGUUGUUUAUGUUGCAAGAAAUGGAGAAAACAACAACACGGUUACUCAAAGUUUUGCUCAAACAGCAUUAAAUUAGGCAAGGAAUCAUAAUACCCACGCUUUUUGAACCAUUUCAUUGCAGAAACGGAGAAUAGGACAGAUCGGUGAAGUACUAGAUUUGUAGUAAGGAGCUGAAUUUUAGUAUGGUGAGAAGGUCAAUUCUCCGUUUCUGCAAUGAAAUGGUCCGAAAAGCGUGGGUAUUAUGUUUCCUUGCCUAAUUUGAUGCUGUUUGAGCAAAACUUUGGGCAACAUUGUUGUUGUUUUCUCCAUUUCUUGCAACAUAAACAACAUAGUUAUCCGAAGUUUUGCUCAAACAGCAUCAAAUUAGGCAAGGAAUCAUAAUACCCACGCUUUUUGCACCAUUUCAUUGCAGAAACGGAGAAUAGGAAGCAAUCAGUGAAGUACUAGAUUGAAAGUAGUGAGCUGGAUUUUUGUAUGGUGAGAUGAUCAGUUCUCCAUUUCUGCAAUGAAAUGGUGCAAACAACGUGGGUUAUAUGGUUUCUUGCCUAAUUUGAUGCUGUUUGAGCAAAAGUUUGGGUAACUGUGUUGUUGAAGUUGCAAGAAAUAAAUAAUACAACAACACAGUUACCCAAACUUUUGCUCAAACAGCAUCAAAUUAGGCAAGAAACCAUGUAACCCACGUUGUUUGCACCAUUUCAUUGCAGAAUUGGAGAACUGAUCAUCUCACCAUACAAAAAUUCAGCUCACUACUUUCAAUCUAGUACUUCACUGAUUGCGUCCUAUUGACCUUCUCACCAUACUAAAAUUCAGCUCAUUACUACAAAUCUAGUACUACACCGAACGUGCCCUUUUGGCCUUCUCACCAUACUAAAAUUCAGCUCAUUACUACAAAUCUAGUACUUCACCAAUCUGUCCUAUUGAGUGCUAAACAAGGAGUGUUGCACAAAUUAUUAAAAUUUUUGAAAAUAUAUUUUAUGGGCUUUACCUAAUAGGAAUACUUAAAAAAAUGAGUAAACAUGUCGUUUUAUUCAAUGCUUGAUCGAAUUAUGCAGAAAUUGAGAUAGGCCUUUAGGAGCCUAUUAGGCAAGGAAUCAUAAUACCUACACAUUUUGAACCAUUUCAUUGCAGAAACAGAGAAUAGGACAGAUCGGUGAAGUACUAGAUGUGUAGUAAUGAGCUGAAUAGGAGGCAAUCAGUGAAGUACUAGAUUGAAAGUAGUGAGCUGGAUUUUUGUAUGGUGAGAUGAUCAAUAGGACAGAUCGGUGAAGUACUAGAUUUGUAGUAAUGAGCUGAAUUUUAGUAUGGUGAGAAGGUAAAUUCUCCGUUUCUGCAAUGAAAUGGUGAAAAAGUGUGGGUAUUAUGAUUUCUUGCCUAAUUUAAUGCUGUUUGAGCAAAACUUUGGGCAACAGUGUUGUUAGUUUCUCGAUUUCUUGCAACAUAAACAACAUAGUUAUCCAAAGUUUUGCUCAAACAGCAUCAAAUUAGGCAAGGAAUCAUAAUACCCACGCUUUUUGCACCAUUUCAUUGCAGAAACGGAGAAUUGACCUUCUCACCAUACUAAAAUUCAGCUCAUUACUACAAAUCUAGUACUACACCGAACGUACCCCAUUCUCCAUUUCUGCAAUGAAAUGGUGCAAACAGCGUAGGUUAUAUGAUUUAUUGGCUAAUUUGAUGCUAUUUGAGCAAAAGUUUGAAUAACUGUGUUGUUGUAUUAUUUUUUCCUGCAACUUCAACAACACAGUUAUCCAAACUUUUGCUCAAACAGCAUCAAAUUAGUCAAUGAAUCAUAAUACCCACGCUUUUUGCACCAUUUCAUUGAAGAAACGGAGAAUUGACCUUCCCACCAUACUAAAAUUCAGCUCAUUACUACAAAUCUAGUACUACACCGAACGUACCCCAUUCUCCAUUUCUGCAAUGAAAUGGUGCGAACAGCGUAGGUUAUAUGAUUUAUUGGCUAAUUUGAUGCUAUUUGAGCAAAAGUUUGAAUAACUGUGUUGUUGUAUUAUUUUUUCCUGCAACUUCAACAACACAGUUAUCCAAACUUUUGCUCAAACAGCAUCAAAUUAGUCAAUGAAUCAUAUAACCCACGCUGUUUGCACCAUGUCAUUGCAGAAAUGCAGAAUUGAUCAU